rnacentral:rRNA from 1 species
GAUUUCUGACGAAACUGCUAGCUGGCCCGCCACGCAAGUGUGUGAGUGCCGGCUUGGCGUUUGUCAUCCGUUCGAAUGAUAUGCGUGCUGCCCUUCACUGGGUUGGCGCUGCAUGUUUUCGAUCUUUUACUUUGAAAAAAUUAGAGUGUUUCAAGCAGGCAUGUUUUGCUAUGAAUACAUUAGCAUGGAAUAAUAAUCUAGGACUUUCGGUUCUAUUUUGUUGGUUUCUAGAGCGUGGGAGUAAUGAUUGAUAGGGACAGUUGGGGGUGCUAGUAUUCAGCGGCCAGAGGUGAAAUUCAUGGAUUCGCUGAAGACUGACUUAUGCGAAAGCAUU